rnacentral:rRNA from 1 species
UACGGGGGGUGCGAGCGUUGUCCGGAAUCACUGGGCGUAAAGGGCGCGUAGGUGGCGUGAUAAGGGUGUGGUGAAAGCCCGGGGCUCAACCCCGGGUCUGCCAUGCCGACUGUCAGGCUCGAGUGCUGUAGGGGCAGGCGGAAUUCCGGGUGUAGCGGUGGAAUGCGCAGAUAUCAGGAGGAACACCAGCGGCGAAGGCGGCGCUCUGGGCUGGAACUGACGCUGAGGAGCGAAAGCGUGGGGAGCGAACAGG